UACGUAGGGGGCAAGCGUUGUCCGGAAUCAUUGGGCGUAAAGAGCGCGUAGGCGGCCCGCUAAGUCCGCUGUGAAAGUCAAGGGCUCAACCCUUGAAUGCCGGUGGAUACUGUCGGGCUAGAGUCCGGAAGAGGCGAGUGGAAUUCCUGGUGUAGCGGUGAAAUGCGCAGAUAUCAGGAGGAACACCAAUGGCGAAGGCAGCUCGCUGGGACGUAACUGACGCUGAGACGCGAAAGCGUGGGGAGCAAACAGG
rnacentral:rRNA from 1 species